AGAAACCAACACUGUUAUCCAAAGAAGCCAAAUAAAUUAAAGAACAUUAACAUACCUUUUACAGUUGUUGAUGAGGACUGAGAACCGAGGAAGACUGAGGGCUGAGGAAGACUGAGGGCUGAGGACAACCAAGUUGCUGACGGUGCGGAGAGCCGAUGGACUGGAGAGCGACGACCGACGAUUGCGUGGAGAGCGACGACCGACGCCGAUUAGCGUCUCUACUCAGUGGAGACUGAUAUGCGUGACGUGAGGCGGCGUGGAAUGGAGAUUAGCGUCUCUACUCAGUGGCACCACUUUUAGAUUUAGGGCAAAUAAGGGUAC
rnacentral:lncRNA from 1 species